rnacentral:rRNA from 1 species
AGGACGAACGCUGGCGGCGUGCCUAACACAUGCAAGUCGAACGGAGAUGUCGAGCGGGUAACUGCGAGGCAUCUUAGUGGCGGACGGGUGAGUAACGCGUGGGCAACCUGCCUUUCACAGGGGGAUAACACAGGGAAACCUGUGCUAAUACCGCAUAAUAUCAAUACAGGGCAUCCUGUAAUGAUCAAAGGAGUGAAAUCCGGUGAAAGAUGGGCCCGCGUCCGAUUAGCUAGUUGGCGGUAUAACGGACCACCAAGGCGACGAUCGGUAGCCGAACUGAGAGGUUGAUCGGCCACAUUGGGACUGAGACACGGCCCAGACUCCUACGGGAGGCAGCAGUGGGGAAUAUUGCGCAAUGGGGGAAACCCUGACGCAGCAACGCCGCGUGAAGGAAGAAGGUUUUCGGAUCGUAAACUUCUUUGAUGAGGGACGAAGAAAUGACGGUACCUCAAAAACAAGCCACGGCUAACUACGUG